rnacentral:tRNA from 1 species
GCAGUGGUGGUUCAGUGGUAGAGUUCUCGUCUUCCACGCGGGAGACUCAGGUUCAAUUCCCGGACAGUGUG